rnacentral:rRNA from 1 species
AGUGAACGCUGGCGGUAGGCCUAACACAUGCAAGUCGAACGGCAGCACAGUAAGAGCUUGCUCUUCCGGGUGGCGAGUGGCGGACGGGUGAGGAAUACAUCGGAAUCUACUUUUUCGGGGGGGAUAACGUAGGGAAACUUACGCCCAUACCGCAUACGACCUACGGGUGAAAGCAGGGGAUCUUCGGACCUUGCGCGAUUGAACGAGCCGCUGUCGGAGUAGCUAGUUGGCGGGGUAAAGGCCCACCAAGGCGACGAUCCGUAGCUGGUCUGGGAGGAUGGACAGCGCCACUGGAAGUGAGACACGGUCCAGGCACCGACGGGAGGCAGCGGUGGGGAAUAUUGGACGAUGGGCGCAAGACUGAUCCAGCCAUACCGCGUGGGUGAAGCAGGGCUUCGGGUUGUAAAGCCCUUUUGUUGGGAAAGAAAAGCAGCAGGUUAAUACCCCGGUGUUCUGACGGUACCCAAAGAAUAAGCACCGGCUAACUUCGU